AACGAACGCUGGCGGCAUGCCUAACACAUGCAAGUCGAACGAGACCUUCGGGUCUAGUGGCGCACGGGUGCGUAACGCGUGGGAACCUGCCCUUAGGUUCGGAAUAACUCCCCGAAAGGGGUGCUAAUACCGGAUAAUGUCUUCGGACCAAAGAUUUAUCGCCUUUGGAUGGGCCCGCGUUGGAUUAGCUAGUUGGUAGGGUAAAAGCCUACCAAGGCGACGAUCCAUAGCUGGUCUGAGAGGAUGAUCAGCCACACUGGGACUGAGACACGGCCCAGACGCCGAGGGGGGGCAGUGGUGGGGAAGAGGGGAGAGUGGGGCAUAGCAAGACAGAGCACGGCGGAGUGGGGGAUGAAGGUGUGAGGGUUGUAGCUGUUUUUAACGGGGGAUGAUAAUGACAGAGGCGGGAGACGAAGCCGCGCCCCACCCCGUGACAGCAGCCGCGAUAAAUGUAGGAUGACAACACUUAUGAAC
rnacentral:rRNA from 1 species